GUCUAAAUAGUUUAAAGAAAAUAUUAGUUUGUGGGGCUAAGGAUGUGAGCGGUCAUUUUAGAUA
rnacentral:tRNA from 1 species